UACGAAGGGGGCUAGCGUUGCUCGGAUUUACUGGGCGUAAAGGGCGCGUAGGCGGACAGUUAAGUUGGGGGUGAAAGCCCGGGGCUCAAUCUCGGAAUUGCCUUCAAUACUGGCUGUCUUGAGUGUGAGAGAGGUGUGUGGAACUCCGAGUGUAGAGGUGAAAUUCGUAGAUAUUCGGAAGAACACCAGUGGCGAAGGCGACACACUGGCUCACUACUGACGCUGAGGCGCGAAAGCGUGGGGAGCAAACAGG
rnacentral:rRNA from 1 species